rnacentral:rRNA from 1 species
GGAUGAACGCUAGCGGCAGGCCUAAUACAUGCAAGUCGAACGGUAACAUGAGUAGCAAUACUUGAUGACGAGUGGCGCACGGGUGCGUAACGCGUAUGCAAUCUACCUUUAACUGGUGAAUAGCCCGAAGAAAUUCGGAUUAAUACACCAUAACAUAUUUGAGUGGCAUCACUUAAAUAUUAAAACUCCGGUGGUUGAAGAUGAGCAUGCGUGACAUUAGCUAGUUGGUGAGGUAAUGGCUCACCAAGGCUACGAUGUCUAGGGGAUCUGAGAGGAUUAACCCCCACACUGGUACUGAGACACGGACCAGACUCCUACGGGAGGCAGCAGUAAGGAAUAUUGGACAAUGGUCGCAAGACUGAUCCAGCCAUGCCGCGUGCAGGAUGACUGUCCUAUGGGUUGUAAACUGCUUUUGUACGAGAAAAAACUUCUUUACGUGUAAAGAACUGAUUGUAUCGUAAGAAUAAGGAUCGGCUAACUCCGUGCCAGCAGCCGCGGUAAUACGGAGGAUCCAAGCGUUAUCCGGAUUCAUUGGGUUUAAAGGGUGCGUAGGCGGAAUGAUAAGUCAGUGGUGAAAUCCUGCAGCUUAACUGCAGAACUGCCAUUGAUACUAUCAAUCUUGAGUACAUUUGAUGUGGGCGGAAUGUGUCAUGUAGCGGUGAAAUGCUUAGAUAUGACACAGAACACCGAUUGCGAAGGCAGCUCACAAAACUGUAACUGACGCUGAGGCACGAAAGCGUGGGGAUCAAACAGGAUUAGAUACCCUGGUAGUCCACGCCGUAAACUAUGAUUACUCGAUGUUUGCGAUACACUGUAAGCGUCUAAGCGAAAGCGAUAAGUAAUCCACCUGGGGAGUACGCUCGCAAGAGUGA